UUCUCCUCGCCCUCGGAGAACU
rnacentral:miRNA from 1 species